rnacentral:rRNA from 1 species
UGCCAGCCGCCGCGGUAAUACGGAGGGGGCUAGCGUUGUUCGGAAUUACUGGGCGUAAAGCGCGCGUAGGCGGAUUGGAAAGUUGGGGGUGAAAUCCCGGGGCUCAACCCCGGAACUGCCUCCAAAACUAUCAGUCUUGAGUUCGAGAGAGGUGAGUGGAAUUCCGAGUGUAGAGGUGAAAUUCGUAGAUAUUCGGAGGAACACCAGUGGCGAAGGCGGCUCACUGGCUCGAUACUGACGCUGAGGUGCGAAAGCGUGGGGAGCAAACAGGAUUAGAUA